rnacentral:rRNA from 1 species
AACGAACGCUGGCGGCAUGCCUAACACAUGCAAGUCGAACGAGACCUUCGGGUCUAGUGGCGCCCGGGUGCGUAACGCGUGGGAACCUGCCCUUAGGUUCGGAAUAACUCCCCGACAGGGGUGCUAAUACCGGAUAAUGUCUUCGGCCCAAAGAUUUAUCGCCUUUGGAUGGGCCCGCGUUGGAUUAGCUAGUUGGUAGGGUAAAAGCCUACCAAGGCGACGAUCCAUAGCUGGUCUGAGAGGAUGAUCAGCCACACUGGGACUGAGACACGGCCCAGACUCCUACGGGAGGCAGCAGUGGGGAAUAGUGGACAAUGGGCGAAAGCCUGAUCCAGCAAUGCCGCGUGAGUGAUGAAGGCCUUAGGGUUGUAAAGCUCUUUUACCCGGGAUGAUAAUGACAGUACCGGGAGAAUAAGCUCCGGCUAACUCCGUG